rnacentral:rRNA from 1 species
GUCUUCUUGAGAAUAAUUAGAAGUCUGACCUGCCCAAUGAUUUUAAAUGGCCGCGGUAUUUUGACCGUGCGAAGGUAGCAUAAUAAAUAGUCUAUUAAUUAUAGUCUGGAAUGAAGGGUUUGACGUGGAAUAGCUUUCUUAAAUUUUAUGGUGAAAUUAAAUUAUCAGUAAAAAUGCUGAUGUGGAAUAGGAGGACGAGAAGACCCUAUAGAGCUUUAUAUCUUGAUUAAAUUUUGUAGCACUUUUUUUGAUUAUUUUGUUGGGGCGACAUUGAAUAUAAACAUUCAAUAUUUCUUAGUAAUAGGAUGAAUGAUCCAUUAUUAAUGAUUUUAGACUAAGUUACCUUAGGGAUAACAGCGUAAUCUUUUUUUAGAGUUCAUAUCGAUGAAAAGGUUUGCGACCUCGAUGUUGGAUUAAAAUACCUAUGGGGCGUAGCAGUUUCAUAAGGUGGUCUGUUCGACCAUUAAAUUUUUACAUGAUCU